UACAGAGGGGGCAAGCGUUGUUCGGAAUUACUGGGCGUAAAGGGCGCGUAGGCGGCCUGUUAAGUCGAACGUGAAAUCCCCGGGCUCAACCCGGGAACUGCGUCCGAUACUGGCAGGCUUGAAUCCGGGAGAGGGAUGUGGAAUUCCAGGUGUAGCGGUGAAGUGCGUAGAUAUCGAGAGGAACACCGGUGGCGAAGGCGGCCAACUGGACAGAUACUGACGCUGAGACUCGAAAGCGUGG
rnacentral:rRNA from 1 species